UCCAGACUCCUACGGGAGGCAGCAGUGGGGAAUAUUGCACAAUGGGGGAAACCCUGAUGCAGCGACGCCGCGUGAGUGAAGAAGUAUUUCGGUAUGUAAAGCUCUAUCAGCAGGGAAGAAAAAAGACGGUACCUGACUAAGAAGCCCCGGCUAACUACGUGCCAGCAGCCGCGGUAAUACGUAGGGGGCAAGCGUUAUCCGGAAUUACUGGGUGUAAAGGGUGCGUAGGUGGCAUGGUAAGUCAGAAGUGAAAGCCCGGGGCUUAACCCCGGGACUGCUUUUGAAACUGUCAUGCUGGAGUGCAGGAGAGGUAAGCGGAAUUCCUAGUGUAGCGGUGAAAUGCGUAGAUAUUAGGAGGAACACCAGUGGCGAAGGCGGCUUACUGGACUGUCACUGACACUGAUGCACGAAAGCGUGGGGAGCAAACAGGAUUAGAUACCCUUGUACAA
rnacentral:rRNA from 1 species